rnacentral:rRNA from 1 species
UUAUUUAAGAGAGUAAAUGGAAUUUUUCUGUAAUGGUGGUAUGUGUAAAUAGGAAAAAGAACUUUAGACGUGAAGACUAUUUACUUCUAAGAUUAUAAUGUGUUGGCUAAAACACGAGAGUGUGGGGAGCAAACAGGAUUAGGUACCCUGGUAGUCCAUACUGUAAAUAAUGAAAAAGAUGUGAAGCAAUUCUAAACGGUAAGAACUUUUCCGCUUGAGUAGUACGGUCGCAAGAUUAAAAUUCAAAAAACUUGGCUGUUCACUGUUUUGAUUAGAGGAGCGUGUCGUUUAAUUCGAUAGUCCGCGAGAGACCUUACCCAAACUUGAAUCCCUCAUUGACAGGUAUUGCAUGGCCGUCGUCAAUUUGUGUAUUAAACAUAAAACAAAUUCAACCCAGUGGUUUGUCUAUUGGAUGAAGUCAGGUCUUAUUGUCCUAAUGUUUGGGGAUUAGAUGCGCUACAUUUUUUUAUACAAUGGGAAACUUUGGAUGUGAGACCCCAAAAUAAGAGUUCGGAAGGUGCUUGGAAUAUAACGGAAAGUUGGAUUUAAUAGUAAUUGAAAAGUAGAGCGUUUCAAUGAAAUUUAUUCAGUGUUAGUACAAAUUGCCCGUCGCCUUUGCUUAGAAAGGUUGUUUGGUUGCCCCUCAAGAGGGUUCCUAAUAUCUUCGAGGUAGAGUAAGUCGUAA